UGCGCGCAAGCGUGACGGGGCCAUCCUCAGUGCCGUCCGAUAAGGAUGGCUUUUGUCCAGCGUAAAUAACUGGACGAAUAAGGGGAGGGCAAGGCUGGUGCCAGCCGCCGCGGUAAAACCAGCUCCUCGAGUAGUCGGGAGGAUUACUGGGCCUAAAGCGUCCGUAGCCGGCCCUGUAAGUUUCCGGUCAAAACCAGCGGCCCAACCGCUGGCUUGCUGGGGGUACUGCAGGGCUUGGGAGCGUGAGAGGCCAAGGGUACUUACGGGGUAGGGGUGAAAUCCUAUAAUCCCGUAGGGACCACCGGUGGCGAAGGCGCUUGGCUGGAACGCGUCCGACGGUGAGGGACGAAAGCCAGGGGAGCGAACCGGAUUAGAUACCCGGGUAGUCCUGGCUGUAAACGAUGCGGACUAGGUGUUCGGGUGGCUAAGGGCUGCUCGAGUGCCGCAGAGAAGUCGUUAAGUCCGCCGCCUGGGGAGUACGGCCGCAAGGCUGAAACUUAAAGGAAUUGGCGGGGGAGCAC
rnacentral:rRNA from 1 species